AGAGUUUGAUCCUGGCUCAGAUUGAACGCUGGCGGCAUGCCUUACACAUGCAAGUCGAACGGCAGCACGGAGCUUGCUCUGGUGGCGAGUGGCGAACGGGUGAGUAAUAUAUCGGAACGUACCCUAGAGUGGGGGAUAACGUAGCGAAAGUUACGCUAAUACCGCAUACGAUCUAAGGAUGAAAGUGGGGGAUCGCAAGACCUCAUGCUCGUGGAGCGGCCGAUAUCUGAUUAGCUAGUUGGUAGGGUAAAAGCCUACCAAGGCAUCGAUCAGUAGCUGGUCUGAGAGGACGACCAGCCACACUGGAACUGAGACACGGUCCAGACUCCUACGGGAGGCAGCAGUGGGGAAUUUUGGACGAUGGGCGAAAGCCUGAUCCAGCAAUGCCGCGUGAGUGAAGAAGGCCUUCGGGUUGUAAAGCUCUUUUGUCAGGGAAGAAACGGUGAAAGCUAAUAUCUUUUGCUAAUGACGGUACCUGAAGAAUAAGCACCGGCUAACUACGUGCCAGCAGCCGCGGUAAUACGUAGGGUGCAAGCGUUAAUCGGAAUUACUGGGCGUAAAGCGUGCGCAGGCGGUUUUGUAAGUCUGAUGUGAAAUCCCCGGGCUCAACCUGGGAAUUGCAUUGGAGACUGCAAGGCUAGAAUCUGGCAGAGGGGGGUAGAAUUCCACGUGUAGCAGUG
rnacentral:rRNA from 1 species